rnacentral:snoRNA from 13 species
GAUGAAGGAGAUGACAUUUUCAUGUGCGAAUAUGAAUAUGACAUACAUUGGCACAGUUUCAAGCGUUUAGCUGAUAUU